rnacentral:rRNA from 1 species
GAUGAACGCUGGCGGCGUGCCUAAUACAUGCAAGUCGAGCGAACAGACGAGGAGCUUGCUCCUCUGACGUUAGCGGCGGACGGGUGAGUAACACGUGGAUAACCUACCUAUAAGACUGGGAUAACUUCGGGAAACCGGAGCUAAUACCGGAUAAUAUAUUGAACCGCAUGGUUCAAUAUUGAAAGACGGUUUUGCUGUCACUUAUAGAUGGAUCCGCGCCGCAUUAGCUAGUUGGUAAGGUAACGGCUUACCAAGGCAACGAUGCGUAGCCGACCGGAGAGGGUGAUCGGCCACACUGGAACUGAGACACGGUCCAGACUCCUACGGGAGGCAGCAGUAGGGAAUCUUCCGCAAUGGGCGAAAGCCUGACGGAGCAACGCGGCGUGAGUGAUGAAGUUCUUCGGAUCGUAAAACUCUGUUAUUAGGGAAGAACAAAUGUGUAAGUAACUAUGCACGUCUUGACGGUACCUAAUCAGAAAGCCACGGCUAACUACGUG